rnacentral:rRNA from 1 species
UAGUCAUAUGCUUGUCUCAAAGACUAAGCCAUGCACGUCUAAGUAUGAAUGUUAUACAGUGAAACUGCGAAUGGCUCAUUAAAACAGUUAUAGUUUAUUUGAUAAUCAAAUUUACAUGGAUAACCGUGGUAAUUCUAGAGCUAAUACAUGCUGGUUAGCCUGACUUUUUGGAAGGGCUGUAUUUAUUAGAUAACAAAUCAAUAUUCCUCGUGUCUAUUGUGACGACUCAUAAUAACUGAUCGAAUCGCAUGGACUUUGUCCGCGAUACAUCAUUCAAGUUUCUGCCCCAUCAGCUUUCGAUGGUAGUGUAUUGGACUACCAUGGCUUUAACGGGUAACGGAGGAUUAGGGUUCGAUUCCGGAGAGGGAGCCUGAGAAACGGCUACCACAUCUAAGGAAGGCAGCAGGCGCGUAAAUUACCCAAUCCUAAUUCAGGGAGGUAGUGACAAGAAAUAACGGACUGAGGCCUACGCUUCAGGAUUGCAAUGAGUAGAAUUUACACCCCUUUACGAGGAUCAAUUG